GCAUGAAAUACGACGCAAGUGCACAAGUACAUAGGACAAAAGCGGGGGACCCACCCAGCACAGCGUGAAACGCGCGAGUGCACCGCGGAGCGAGCUCCGCUUGGGGUGAAGCCGCCGUCUGGGCGGCCAGGUGAUUCAAACCUCAGCCUGAACCCGACAGCUCACCUCGCAGACGUAGAACAAGAGAGGA
rnacentral:sRNA from 2 species